UACGGAGGGUGCGAGCGUUGUCCGGAAUCAUUGGGCGUAAAGGGCGCGUAGGUGGCGCGGUCAGUUCGUGGUGAAAGCGCGGGGCUCAACCCCGCGUCGGCCAUGAAUACUGCUGGGCUGGAGCACUGUAGAGGCAGGCGGAAUCCGGGUGUAGCGGUGGAAUGCGUAGAGAUCCGGAAGAACACCGGUGGCGAAGGCGGCCUGCUGGGCCAGUUGCUGACACUGAGGCGCGACAGCGUGGGGAGCAAACAGGAUAGAAACCCCAGGU
rnacentral:rRNA from 1 species